UAUGUAUAAAAACCUCGCGUUAACAACGUGGCUGGUUAUUUUACGAUAGAAAUACACAAUAGUAGGAAAAUGUUGAAAAUGUUGAUUUUGGGUGCAACUCUUUUUGUUGCUGUCAUGGCCAAUGCUGAUGAAUCGGAAGACAGAGCAAAGAAAAGUUACGAUUUUUGUUAUGUAAAUGGACAAAGUUACCGGAAUGGACAGAGCUUUCAUCUAAACUAUGACCCAUGUACGACGUAUAGAUGCGAAAAUGGAGUAGCACAACUCGCUCAAGUUGAAUGCAAAGAUUUGGCAGGUAGAUGUCAUGCUGAUGGAUCAUCAUGGAAUGAAGGUUGUGUUGAAUAUACUUGUAAGGUAGAGUCUAACGGCCAUUGGAAGAUAACUCCACAAUCAGGUUGUAGAGAUGAACGUGGACAGUGUCACCCACGCGAUAGUAGAUAUACCAAUGAUUGUACUACCUAUCAAUGUUCUGGUUUACCAAAUGGUGGCUGGCGAACAUCUGUAAUAACAACUAUGUGCAAGGAUGCCUAUGGCAAAUGUCACGCACCCGAUGGUCCCCAGUUUGCAUAUGUUUACAAUGGAAGACUGUAUCAGAACUGUUCAUGCAGACCGUACGGUGGAGUUAUUAAAUAUCACUGUAGUUCACAGACCAUUGGUUAAAAUAAAUCUAGGCUACUACUGAAA